AGUGAACGCUGGCGGUAUGCCUAACACAUGCAAGUCGAACGGCAGCACAGUAAGAGUUUGCUCUUACGGGUGGCGAGUGGCGGACGGGUGAGGAAUACAUCGGCAUCUACUUUUUCGUGGGGGAUAACGUAGGGAAAUUUACGCUAAUACCGCAUACGACCUACGGGUUAAAGCAGGGGAUCUUCGGACUUUGCGUGUCUGAUUGAGCCGAUGUCGGAUUAGCUAGUUGGCGGGGUAAAGGCCCACCAAGGCGACGAUCCGUAGCUGAUCUGAGAGGAUGAUCAGCCACACUGGAACUGAGACACGGUCCAGACUCCUACGGGAGGCAGCAGUAGGGAAUAUUGCGCAAUGGGCGCAAGCCUGACCCAGCCAUGCCGCGUGAGUGAAGAAGGCCUUCGGGUUGUAAAACCCUUUUGUUGGGAAAGAAAAGCAGCGGGUUAAUACCCCGCUGUUCUGACGGUACCCAAAGAGUAAGCACCGGCUAACUACGUG
rnacentral:rRNA from 1 species